rnacentral:misc_RNA from 1 species
AAAACGCGAUAGGUAGUGUGAAUUGCAGAAAUCGUGAAUCAUCGAAUCUUUGAACGCACAUUGCGCUUCUUGGUAUUCCAGGGAGCAUGCCUGUCUGAGCGUCAGUGGAUUAUCGACUAGAUUGGUUUUUUGUUUUGAAAAGUCGAUCUAGAAGGGAAUUGAGUUAUGAAUAAACUUAAAGUUUAUGCUAACUUGAAAAUAAUAAAUGUCCAAGUCUUUUUUUGUUGUCUUGGUGUGAUAGAAAUUUCUUAAAGCGCUUAGACAAGAUGAGGAUAUUUUUUUGAAAAUGCAUUUCUUUUUUUGAAUGAAUGCAUGAAAUGAACAAAUUGACCUCAGAUCAGGUAGGAGUACCCGCUGAACUUAA